UGAAGUCUGUCAACAGAUGAAGCCGAAGAACCCACAUCUUCCCCUGGGUGCAGGAGCUUUACAGGUGUAUUUUACUUUCUCCUGGUACCAAAGUUAGGAAGUACCUGCUUCUAGAGUCCAUGACAUCAAAGAGACUCUCUAUAGAAAACUUUGGGCUCUUCACUUUUGGAUUUCCUACAAAAGAGGAAAUGUCUGGAAUUUAGAGAGUUCAACUCACCUGCUCAAAGACAAAGCCGUGAUCAGAAACAGCAACAUCGGGAAUUCAUGAUGGAGGAGUAGAGAGAGAGGGAUGUGUCUAAUCUUAACUCAGGAUG